rnacentral:rRNA from 1 species
UACGACUACAUAUCAGGCAUAUCAAUAAGCGGAGGAAAAGAAACUAACAAGGAUUCCCCUAGUAACGGCGAGUGAAGCGGGAAGAGCUCAAAUUUGAAAUCUUAAAGGGUUUCCCUUUACGAAUUGUAGUUUAAAGAAGUGUUUUCUGUUGGAGUUUCGGUAAAAGUUCUUUGGAAUAGGACAUCAUAGAGGGUGGAGAAUCCCGUAUUUGACCGUUACUUUCCAGCUGUGUGAUACACUUUCAAAGAGUCGGAUUGUUUGGGAAUGCAGUCCAAGAUGGGUGGUAAAUUUCAUCUAAAGCUAAAUAUUGGCGAGAGACCGAUAGCGAACAAGUACCGUGAGGGAAAGAUGAAAAGAACUUUGAAAAGAGAGUUAAACAGUACGUGAAAUUGUCAAAAGGGAAGCGUUUGACACCAGUGUUGUUUAGUUCCGAAAAUCAAUUCAAUAGGUCUUUGAUUUUAAGUUAGUAUUGACCUUCAUCAGCUUGCUGCCUCUUUUCUCAGAAUCUUCUUGAAUGCACUUUUCAGUUAACAAGUCAACAUCAAUUUCUUUUGUUGUAAAAGGGUAUUUGGAAGGUGGCUUUCUUUUCGGAGAAAGUGUUUAUAGCCUUAUACCUCUACAAUCGGAGAGAUUGAGGUCUGCAGCGUAGAUCCUUCGGGGCUAGAUACACUUGUGCUAAGUUAUAGCUUUUCAUAGACAACUUGUUGACUAUGCUUCAGUCAUGUAGCUUACUCGCUGAUGCUAUUUUACCUACGCUUAGGAUGUUGAUCUACAGAGCGAGAGU